rnacentral:miRNA from 1 species
UGCUGGCUGUGGAACAGAGUCCUGU